CUAAGUUUUAUUCUUCAGACACUGUGUUCUUGACAUUUUGUAAUCCGGAUUUCUCUUAAUCUAUUCAGUAUUCAGCAUUUGCUUUUGAUUUUGUUUACUGUUGUUCAUCCUGUUAUCAUCUUGCUAUUACUCUGUUGCUAUGAUGUUUUCAUUCAUGUCAUCGUUUAUGUUUUCUGCAAUGUUGUCUCAGUAGUGACUAGGUUUUUAAGGAUGGGUUAGAGUAGUUUAGAAUUCUAGGUCUAUUAGGUGGUUGAGUUUGAUUUCUAGAUCCCUUCUGGAUUAGUUUUUCUUAAUGCCUAUUGCUUUCUGAUCAACUGGAAUUUGAGCCCAGACAUUUCCGCACCCAAAAGGUGUUCGAUGAAAUGCCUGAACCACUAAUUCUAGAGAUCCGUGGCUCUGUACCAAGGUACUGG
rnacentral:sRNA from 1 species